ensembl:snRNA U6 U6 spliceosomal RNA
UGCCCUACCUGGUGUGCUAUAGCUUUUGGAAUGAAACAGAGAAGAUUAGCAUGGUCCCUGAGCAAGGAUGACAUGCAAAUUGAAGUCUACAAAAAAAAUAAU